rnacentral:miRNA from 1 species
UCAACCCCCCGGGGUUGAAAUUUCAACCCUGCUUCAGCUAGCAGGGUUGAAAUUUCAACCCCGGGGUUGA